rnacentral:tRNA from 1 species
AAUGUAUUAAAUAGAGGGUAUUAUAUUUGUACGCAAAAUAAAGAGGUGUACAUUU